rfam:Dermacoccus nishinomiyaensis strain M25, complete genome.
GGAGGGCUCGCAUAGUGGCCGAGUGCACCGGUCUUGAAAACCGGAGUUGGGAAACCAACCGUGGGUUCAAAUCCCACGCCCUCCG